UACGUAGGGUGCAAGCGUUAAUCGGAAUUACUGGGCGUAAAGCGUGCGUAGGCGGUUAUUUAAGUCGGGUGUGAAAGCCCCGGGCUCAACCUGGGAAUUGCAUUCGAGACUGAAUAGCUAGAGUACGGUAGAGGGAAGUGGAAUUUCCGGUGUAGCGGUGAAAUGCGUAGAUAUCGGAAGGAACAUCAGUGGCGAAAGCGACUUCCUGGACCAGUACCGACGUUCAGGCACGAAAGCGUGGGGAGCAAACAGG
rnacentral:rRNA from 1 species